rnacentral:rRNA from 1 species
AUUGAACGCUGGCGGCAGGCCUAACACAUGCAAGUCGAGCGGAUGAAGGGAGCUUGCUCCUGGAUUCAGCGGCGGACGGGUGAGUAAUGCCUAGGAAUCUGCCUGGUAGUGGGGGAUAACGUCCGGAAACGGGCGCUAAUACCGCACACGUCCUGAGGGAGAAAGUGGGGGAUAUUCGGACCUCACGCUAUCAGAUGAGCCUAGGUCGGAUUAGCUAGUUGGUGGGGUAAAGGCCUACCAAGGCGACGAUCCGUAACUGGUCUGAGAGGAUGAUCAGUCACACUGGAACUGAGACACGGUCCAGACUCCUACGGGAGGCAGCAGUGGGGAAUAUUGGACAAUGGGCGAAAGCCUGAUCCAGCCAAGCCGCGUGUGUGAAGAAGGUCUUCGGAUUGUAAAGCACUUUAAGUUGGGAGGAAGGGCAGUAAGUUAAUACCUUGAUGUUUUGACGUUACCAACAGAAUAAGCACCGGCUAACUUCGUG